UACAGAGGUGGCAAGCGUUGUUCGGAAUUACUGGGCGUAAAGGGCGCGUAGGCGGCCAUCUAAGUCAGACGUGAAAUCCCCCGGCUUAACCUGGGAACUGCGUCUGAUACUGGAAGGCUUGAGUAUGGGAGAGGGAUGUAGAAUUCCAGGUGUAGCGGUGAAAUGCGUAGAUAUCUGGAGGAAUACCGGUGGCGAAGGCGGGUCUCUGGACAGUUCCUGACGCUGAGGCACGAAGGCCAGGGGAGCAAACGGG
rnacentral:rRNA from 1 species